UAUGAAUACAACAUUUCAUUUUAUGUUUAACAUGUCUCUUGUGAAUACGAAUUUUCCUCGUUUUGAAUACGACUUCUCUCUGUCUGGGAUACGGAUUUCUUUACCUAACUGUCAAAACUACGUCACGGGGUCACAGGCUUAUGCAUCGAGUGCCGGAACAUCAAGCAGCCGAGCCGGCAAACGACGCAUGCGCACUGAGGACUCCUCCCCUAAUUCUGAAUUUGAGCUGGGAAAACGUCAGGGAUUAAAGAAAACGGACACAUUGUCAAUGGAGAACAACCAGGACAAUCCUGGAGAAAAUGGAUCUGCUGGAGAAGUACAGCAGUGGGUGAAAGAGAGGAGAGUGGAGAAAGAGAAGGAAGGAGUGAGCCACCGGCUGAAAGAAGAAAAAUAAGAAGAAACAGUGAUGAGCUUCUAGACCUAAGCAGAGGACAUGAGGCAGAAGAGCAGAGCGCACGAGAGAGGAGGGAAACUUUUGACCAACUUUAGUCUGCUGGAAAAAAUUGCCGUUAAAAUCCUUAGAUGUCUGAGAAUAAAUAAAUGACGUUUAUAUUUGAUAUAUUAAAAAUGUUUGUUUUUGUUUUGUUAAUUUAAAUAAAGAUCUAAAUCAAACACA